GUUAUUGGGUGAGUUGGCCCACUAUUUUUGGCCUGAAAUUACUAAUUUUAAAAAAAUAUACUCUUUCUAAUUUGUUAUUCUCAUCAAACAGGAGACCGUGGAUAUCCUUGCACCCCCUGGCUCAUGACUCCUUACCGUAAUCCCAGGCCAGGACCACAGACGGCAUUUAACUCCGCGCUUACUGCCACUAGGCAGCUGGUGGAGCGCACAAUUGGGGUCCUUAAAGGGCGGUUUCGUGUGCUCCACCGCACUGGUGGCGACAUCAUGUAUUCGCCGGAGAUGGCAAGUAAACUAGUGGUCCUGUGCGCUAUACUACACAACAUCGCGGUAAGGAGUAGCGUAGAGCUUCCUCAGACAGAGGAAUUGCCUGAUGAGGAGCCAGGGGUUGUCCGACACUUCGGUGGGGGGAGUGUUACACGGAGGGGGAGCCAAGUCAGGGCAAGCAUUGUUGCGGAAUAUUUCAGCUGAAUGAUCACACAAACUGUGGACGACCACAACGGCAAGCAACACAUGAGGCACCAUCUCAGCCCCCUUCCCCUUCUCACUCCCCCUCCACUUCCCAGUCCCCCUCCCCUUCUCACUCCCCCUCCCCUUCCCAAUCCCCCUCAGCUUCCCAGUCCCCCUCAGCUUCCCAAUCCCACUCUGCUUCCCAGUCCCCCUCAGCUUCCCAGUCCCCCUCAGCUUCCCAAUCCCCCUCAGCUUCCCAGUCACCCUCAGCUUCCCAGGCCCACUCCACUUUCCACUCCCCUUCUCAGCCCACCUCUCCUUCUCUUUCUGUGACCCCUUCUCCUCCUUCCCAUACCCCUUCUCCUUCUACUUCCAAAUCACCUUCUCAGCCCCCCUCACCCUCUAUUGGCCUAACAUUCUCUCCGCCCCCCUCGCCCUCUCAAUCAGACCCACCCUCUGAAAUAACAUCCCCAAUCCCUCCGCCUUCCCCCAUCCAGCCUCCUUCCCCCAUCCCUCCUCCUUCCCCAAUCCCUCCUCCUUCCCCCAUCCAGCCGCCUUCCCCCAUCCAGCCGCCUUCCCCCAUCCAGCCGCCUUCCCCACCCAGUGAAUGGGCAGAAGAAGCCCCUGAAGACAUUUCUGGGAGUCAUCAUGUUGCAGAGGAAAAUGUUGCCGUUGGAGAUCCCACAACUUUUGCGGGCAUUCUGGCCAACAUGCGCCAAAAUCUUCUUGCCUUGCUGGAUCAUGUUGAC